rnacentral:lncRNA from 1 species
AAUUUGGUGUCUCCUUGGCUUCCCGGUGGGAAGCAGGAGGGGCAGCAUGCCACGCUUCGCUGCUGGCCUCGGGUUCUGGUCCUGUGUGUGCUCUUAUUCUGGAGAGAAAGCUUAAAACACACCCGAACCAGGACACCAGUGUUUGCUCCUAGUCAGGCUGCCGAUGGACGGUGCCGCUCUUGCCGUCGGACUCCUGCUCUGUUUAACAACGUGCCGAGGGACGUCUAGAAAGCCCUGGACAGAUGGGAGCUGGCUUGCUGCGUGGUGGAGGCUGCACCUUCCUUUCCCUCCGUGCAGCGGUGUUGAUGCUGUCCUCAGAGCCCAGGGAUUUUCAUCGUUUUCUUCUGAUGCCAGAUUGAAAAAGAGUCGUCAGGCUGUGAUGGUGGUGGGUUGUCCAAGACAGAGCAGCCCCUUUGGAGAGCAGCCCCUUGGCCCCCCCAAAACAACCUUUUCCUGCUUUCGGAUGGAUCGAAGCAUUGGCUGAAAACUUGGAUCGCUUCCGGGGUGAAGAACGGCAAGCUGACAAAUGACCCUUGAAUCUUUUAUUACGGAGCAGUGCUGUUUUAUCUUAUCCCCGCUGGUGCUGUAUUUCAGAAUAUAUAUCAAAGAGAUGAGGUCUCAGAGUUUUCUGCCUUAAAAGCUGUUCGCUCCCCUUCGGGGGGUGGCUGCUCCCAGGCCCCGCAGAGCCCUUUUUAGCCUGGCUGUGCUUGGGAUUUCCCAUUUACAGUGCCCUGGAUAGCACCUGUAAGGACCAGACCCCCAAAACCUCUGUCUGGGGCUAGAGUGAAAGAAAAGGG